rnacentral:pre_miRNA from 1 species
AUACUACUCCCUCCGUUCGGAAUUACUUGUCACAAAAAUGAAUGUAUCUACAACUAAAAUACAUCCAGAUACAUUCAUUUCUUCGACGAGUAAUUCCAAACGGAGGGAGUAGUUA